UCCUGACUGACCGAUAGUGAACCAGUACCGUGAGGGAAAGGCGAAAAGAACCCCGGCGAGGGGAGUGAAAAAGAACCUGAAACCGUGUACGUACAAGCAGUGGGAGCACGCUUAGGCGUGUGACUGCGUACCUUUUGUAUAAUGGGUCAGCGACUUAUAUUCUGUAGCAAGGUUAACCGAAUAGGGGAGCCGAAGGGAAACCGAGUCUUAACUGGGCGUUAAGUUGCAGGGUAUAGACCCGAAACCCGGUGAUCUAGCCAUGGGCAGGUUGAAGGUUGGGUAACACUAACUGGAGGACCGAACCGACUAAUGUUGAAAAAUUAGCGGAUGACUUGUGGCUGGGGGUGAAAGGCCAAUCAAACCGGGAGAUAGCUGGUUCUCCCCGAAAGCUAUUUAGGUAGCGCCUCGUGAAUUCAUCUCCGGGGGUAGAGCACUGUUUCGGCAAGGGGGUCAUCCCGACUUACCAACCCGAUGCAAACUGCGAAUACCGGAGAAUGUUAUCACGGGAGACACACGGCGGGUGCUAACGUCCGUCGUGAAGAGGGAAACAACCCAGACCGCCAGCUAAGGUCCCAAAGUCAUGGUUAAGUGGGAAACGAUGUGGGAAGGCCCAGACAGCCAGGAUGUUGGCUUAGAAGCAGCCAUCAUUUAAAGAAAGCGUAAUAGCUCACUGGUCGAGUCGGCCUGCGCGGAAGAUGUAACGGGGCUAAACCAUGCACCGAAGCUGCGGCAGCGACGCUUAUGCGUUGUUGGGUAG
rnacentral:rRNA from 1 species